GCCUGGCUGGUUUAGUUGGUGGAGCAUGUGACUCUCAAUCACAGGGUUGUGACUUCGAGUCCCAUGUUGGGUG
rnacentral:tRNA from 1 species